UAAAACGUAGGAGGCAAGCGUUAUCCGGAGUUACUGGGCGUAAAGAGCGUGUAGGCGGGCUGGCAAGUCUGGUGUGAAAGCUCCCGGCUAAACUGGGAGAGUGCAUUGGAGACUGCCAAUCUAGAGGCUGUCAGAGGGUCGUGGAAUUCCGGGUGUAGUGGUGAAAUGCGUAGAGAUCCGGAGGAACACCAGUGGCGAAGGCGACGACCUGGGGCAGAACUGACGCUGAGACGCGAAAGCACGGGGAGCGAACGGGAUUAGAAACCCCGGUAGUCCGUGCCGUAAACGAUGCACACUAGGUGUUCGGGGGCCUACGGGCUUUUGAGUGCCGCAGCUAACGCGAUAAGUGUGCCGCCUGGGGAGUACGGUCGCAAGGCUA
rnacentral:rRNA from 1 species